rfam:Termitomyces sp. J132 unplaced genomic scaffold scaffold248, whole genome shotgun sequence.
UCGGAUAUGGUGUAAUGGCUAACAUUGCCGCCUCUCAUUGUGAAAUAACUUGUUCAAGCGCGCGGCAGCUCGGGGUUCGAUUCCCCGUAUCCGAA